UACGUAGGGGGCAAGCGUUGUCCGGAAUUAUUGGGCGUAAAGAGCGCGUAGGCGGUCCGAUAAGUCGGCUGUGAAAGUCAAGGGCUCAACCCUUGAAAGCCGGCCGAUACUGUCGGACUAGAGUCCGGAAGAGGCGAGUGGAAUUCCCGGUGUAGCGGUGAAAUGCGCAGAUAUCAGGAGGAACACCAAUGGCGAAGGCAGCUCGCUGGGACGGUACUGACGCUAAGGCGCGAAAGCGUGGGGAGCAAACAGG
rnacentral:rRNA from 1 species